rnacentral:tRNA from 1 species
GAGGGGAUAGCUCAGUGGUAAAGCCCAUGCUUAGCAUGCACAAGGUCCUGAGUUCAAUCCCCAGUACCUCCA